CGGGACACGUGGUAUCCUGUCUGAAUAUGGGGGGACCAUCCUCCAAGGCUAAAUACUCCUGACUGACCGAUAGUGAACCAGUACCGUGAGGGAAAGGCGAAAAGAACCCCGGCGAGGGGAGUGAAAAAGAACCUGAAACCGUGUACGUACAAGCAGUGGGAGCACGCUUCGGCGUGUGACUGCGUACCUUUUGUAUAAUGGGUCAGCGACUUAUAUUCUGUAGCAAGGUUAACCGAAUAGGGGAGCCGAAGGGAAACCGAGUCUUAACUGGGCGUUAAGUUGCAGGGUAUAGACCCGAAACCCGGUGAUCUAGCCAUGGGCAGGUUGAAGGUUGGGUAACACUAACUGGAGGACCGAACCGACUAAUGUUGAAAAAUUAGCGGAUGACUUGUGGCUGGGGGUGAAAGGCCAAUCAAACCGGGAGAUAGCUGGUUCUCCCCGAAAGCUAUUUAGGUAGCGCCUCGUGAAUUCAUCUCCGGGGGUAGAGCACUGUUUCGGCAAGGGGGUCAUCCCGACUUACCAACCCGAUGCAAACUGCGAAUACCGGAGAAUGUUAUCACGGGAGACACACGGCGGGUGCUAACGUCCGUCGUGAAGAGGGAAACAACCCAGACCGCCAGCUAAGGUCCCAAAGUCAUGGUUAAGUGGGAAACGAUGUGGGAAGGCCCAGACAGCCAGGAUGUUGGCUUAGAAGCAGCCAUCAUUUAAAGAAAGCGUAAUAGCUCACUGGUCGAGUCGGCCUGCGCGGAAGAUGUAACGGGGCUAAACCAUGCACCGAAGCUGCGGCAGCGACGCUUAUGCGUUGUUGGGUAGGGGAGCGUUCUGUAAGCCUGCGAAGGUGUGCUGUGAGGCAUGCUGGAGGUAUCAGAAGUGCGAAUGCUGACAUAAGUAACGAUAAAGCGGGUGAAAAGCCCGCUCGCCGGAAGACCAAGGGUUCCUGUCCAACGUUAAUCGGGGCAGGGUGAGUCGACCCCUAAGGCGAGGCCGAAAGGCGUAGUCGAUGGGAAACAGGUUAAUAUUCCUGUACUUGGUGUUACUGCGAAGGGGGGACGGAGAAGGCUAUGUUGGCCGGGCGACGGUUGUCCCGGUUUAAGCGUGUAGGCUGGUUUUCCAGGCAAAUCCGGAAAAUCAAGGCUGAGGCGUGAUGACGAGGCACUACGGUGCUGAAGCAACAAAUGCCCUGCUUCCAGGAAAAGCCUCUAAGCAUCAGGUAACAUCAAAUCGUACCCCAAACCGACACAGGUGGUCAGGUAGAGAAUACCAAGGCGCUUGAGAGAACUCGGGUGAAGGAACUAGGCAAAAUGGUGCCGUAACUUCGGGAGAAGG
rnacentral:rRNA from 1 species